rnacentral:rRNA from 1 species
UACGUAGGGUGCAAGCGUUAAUCGGAAUUACUGGGCGUAAAGCGUGCGCAGGCGGUUAUGUAAGACAGAGGUGAAAUCCCCGGGCUCAACCUGGGAACGGCCUUUGUGACUGCAUAGCUAGAGUACGGUAGAGGGGGAUGGAAUUCCGCGUGUAGCAGUGAAAUGCGUAGAUAUGCGGAGGAACACCGAUGGCGAAGGCAAUCCCCUGGACCUGUACUGACGCUCAUGCACGAAAGCGUGGGGAGCAAACAGG